rnacentral:lncRNA from 1 species
GUGGUGAAGGUCCUAGACUGGAGCCAGCCCUGCUCAGCUGAUAAAAGGGAGUAGUUGUAUGCUUGUUUGUUCGUUUGUUUUUCUGACUGCAAAAAUCAAAAUGAUGCUCAAGGUAUUUUUAUCCAUACCAGAGAAAGCAGGCUGAUGAGGCUUUUGUUAAAUGCAAAACAGACAACGAAAUCAAACUAGCCUUGGAAAAAGACAGAAGCUAUGGGGCACAAAUAACAUUGAAGUAUUCAUGUCAGACAGCAUUGAAAUGGAUUAGGUGUUCAAGCAUACAGGUCCAGAUAGUCAUGAGGUGGCCAGUGAUCUUUUGUACAGCUUAGGGGACUCCUACGUAUGUUACAAGGAGGACCCUUCCUGAUACUUGCUUCACUGAAAGAGCUCUAAAAACACAGGGAAAGAAUAUGGCACUGGUAUAUUGAAAUAUUUAAGAGCUCUAGAGCUGAACUUAAACUUGCUAUUACCACCACGAAAGCACGUGACCACACAACAGCCAGAUCCUAUGAGAGACUUGGGGAUGGCAGAGUGUAAAACAGAAUUGACAGGGCAGAGAAGCUGGCUUUAAGAGAUGAGGUGUGGUGUUUGUGGUGGAGGUUACAGAGGCUAUGCACAUUAUAAUAGCUACCAUGAUAGCUAUGGAUUUGAUUCAGAUAGAUUUGAAAGAGACAUCAAUGAUUGUUUUUCAGGAAAGCCUGACCACAGAUGCAGGGAUGGAGGCUCUACCUUCCAGAACAGAACACUGGACGCCAUGCACACAUUACCUUCUGAGAAGGACAUUUUUUUUUUCACCACUCAACCCUGUGAUAGUACAUCCUGAGAUUAAACCUGAUGGCAGGGUCACUGAUGAAGCUCCUGUCGAGUCUGCAAACUGAAGAUGCUGUUGCAGCUAUGUUAAGAGGCAAAGCAAACACACAGCACAGAUAUGUAGAACUUCUUGAAAUCUACAGCAGGAGUAAGUGGCGGUGCUUACAGUAGCUGGAUGCCAGGAGGCAUGGGUUUGUCAAAGGAGACCCAUUAUGCCGGCCCAGCAGCUGACUGGCGGUUAUGGAGGUUGCUAAGGAGUCAAGAGCGACAUCAGUAAAUAUGACCAAGUUUUACAGGAAGACUCCAAUGAUUUUCAUUCAAACAUUGCAUAA